GGAGUUGGUAGCUCAGUGGUAGACUGCAUGCUUUGUAUGUAUGAUGUCCUGGGUUCAAUCCAGAGCUUCUCCC
rnacentral:tRNA from 1 species